UCACUCAGAGAUGGGCUCGCGUYUGAUUAAAUAGKUGGWGAGGUAACGGCUCAYCAAGUCGAMGAUCAGUARCCGGACUGAGAGGUUGAACGGCCACAUUGGGACUGAGACACGGCCCAGACUCCUACGGGAGGCAGCAGUGGGGAAUAUUKCACAAUGGGGGAAACCCUGAUGCAGCGAUGCCGCGUGGAGGAAGAAGGUUUUCGGAUUGUAAACUCCUGUCUAAAGGACGAUAAUGACGGUACUUAGAGAGGGUUG
rnacentral:rRNA from 1 species